rnacentral:rRNA from 1 species
UAGGGAAUCUUCGGCAAUGGACGAAAGUCUGACCGAGCAACGCCGCGUGAGUGAAGAAGGUUUUCGGAUCGUAAAACUCUGUUGUUAGAGAAGAACAAGGACGUUAGUAACUGAACGUCCCCUGACGGUAUCUAACCAGAAAGCCACGGCUAACUACGUGCCAGCAGCCGCGGUAAUACGUAGGUGGCAAGCGUUGUCCGGAUUUAUUGGGCGUAAAGCGAGCGCAGGCGGUUUCUUAAGUCUGAUGUGAAAGCCCCCGGCUCAACCGGGGAGGGUCGUUGGAAACUGGGAGACUUGAGUGCAGAAGAGGAGAGUGGAAUUCCAUGUGUAGCGGUGAAAUGCGUAGAUAUAUGGAGGAACACCCGUGGCGAAGGCGGCUCUCUGGUCUGUAACUGACGCUGAGGCUCGAAAGCGUGGGGAGCAAACAGG